rnacentral:rRNA from 1 species
CAACUCACCUGCCGAAUGAAUUAGCCCUGAAAAUGGAUGGCGCUCAAGCGUAGUACCCAUACCUCACCGUCAGCGUUUAUGUGACGCGCUGACGAGUAGGCAGGCGUGGAGGUCAGUGAAGAAGCCUUGGCAGUGAUGCUGGGUGAAACGGCCUCUAGUGCAGAUCUUGGUGGAAGUAGCAAAUAUUCAAGUGAGAACCUUGAAGACUGAAGUGGGGAAGGGUUCCAUGGUAACAGCAGUUGGACAUGGGUUAGUCGAUCCUAAGAGAUAGGGAAGCUCCGUUUUAAAGUACACGAUUAUCCGUGUCGCCUAUCGAAAGGGAAUCCGGUU